AUUGAACGCUGGCGGCAGGCCUAACACAUGCAAGUCGAGCGGAUGAAGGGAGCUUGCUCCUGGAUUCAGCGGCGGACGGGUGAGUAAUGCCUAGGAAUCUGCCUGGUAGUGGGGGAUAACGUCCGGAAACGGGCGCUAAUACCGCAUACGUCCUGAGUGAGAAAGUGGGGGAUCUUCGGACCUCACGCUAUCAGAUGAGCCUAGGUCGGAUUAGCUAGUUGGUGGGGUAAAGGCCUACCAAGGCGACGAUCCGUAACUGGUCUGAGAGGAUGAUCAGUCACACUGGAACUGAGACACGGUCCAGACUCCUACGGGAGGCAGCAGUGGGGAAUAUUGGACCAUGGGCGAAAGCCUGAUCCAGCCAUGCCGCGUGUGUGAAGAAGGUCUUCGGAUUGUAAAGCACUUUAAGUUGGGAGGAAGGGCAGUAAGUUAAUACCUUGCUGUUUUGACGUUACCAACAGAAUAAGUACCGGCUAACUUCGUG
rnacentral:rRNA from 1 species